CCCCCCCCAGUAAAAGUGUAUGUAAACUGUUCUUUAAGAUGAAGAAAGAAAACACUGUGUUCCUUACCUCUGGUAGUAAGAGUGUGUGUGUGUGUGUGUGUGUGUGAGAAACAUGUAGCCUAUUAAUGUGUGAUUUGCUACUCGAUCAGGUUCAGGUCAUUGUUCGUGCACUGGUCUUUAAUCUUUUUGUUGUUCUGUGAUUUUGAUUGGUUGUCUCUGGGUAGAGUCUGGAGAGUCCAUGGAUCUUGCCCCGAUUGGUUGGCCUUUCAUUGCCAGCUGAAGGUUCCGUUUGAUGAUGUCAUAAUGAACUCGAGCCACAGUUAGGAAUGGCAGUUAAUGAAAAUUCUAGAUUCUUUUACAGUAGAAUUCUGACCCUUAAUUGCUAGAUCAGUUCUAGAGUUGAUAUCUGGCGUAGUUCUUGCACUGAUCACCAAACACUGUGAUUUUUAAUUGUUUUAUUUAAUUGUUUUAAUUAUUUUCUUUUACGUUUUGAAGGGAUUCAUCACUGUGAAAACAGAUGUAAAAUAUAUGAAGGAUUUAGAUUGAGAUCAUUUCUAAGGGAGGUGCCAGGAGCCCAACUAAUCAGGUUGGGCCUAGAAGAUUUGCAUCAACAGCCCAAUGAAAAUAUAGGCUUUAAAUAUAAGGGACCAUUCUGUAUUGGAAAGAAAGAUGUUGUGUGUGUGUGUGUGUGUGUGUGUGUUCCCAUAGACUGUGAAGACUACUGUAAAGUCAUUGUUUUCGGCUGUUGAGUAAUAAGCCUAACCUGAUGACUCAUUGUCUACCACGUAAGCAAACCAGGAGCGUCAUAUAAUCGGUUUGUUGUCAGGUGUGUGUGGUCUGGUUAUCUGUGAUCUGUUUGUCAGUGUGUGUGUGUGUGUGUGUGUGGUUUGGUUAUCUGUGAUCGGUUUGUUGUCAGGUGUGGUUUGGGUAUCCCGUUGAUUGGCUGUAAUGCUAUUUCUGCCUACAUGACUACUUGCUUUCAGUUGACCUUGAUCCCAUUAGUGCGUGACCUUCAGAGAUGUAGAUAGAUGGAUGUACAUCUGAACUUCAAUGGUGCUCCCAGCGUUGUUAAAUGACCAGAACCCUAUUUGUGUGGAGGGAGGAAAGUUGACAUAUCUUUGCCUAAAUUGUAAAAUAAACUGAAUUAUUUGAAUCGUAGAUUCUUAAUCGUGUGUAGUCAGUGGUCAUGGGUGAUGUGGGUGAUCCAUUUGGAUGUGAAGAAAUCUGAAGGAGUUUAGGGACACGCUUGAGCUAUUCAACACUGAAUAGAAUGGCUCAUCUCUACGGUACGGGAAUGGAUCUCUACUGUGGCCCUUAUCUCUAUGGUACAGAGCUGGGUGAUCCAUUUGGAUGUAAAUAAAUCUGAAGGAGUUUAGGGACACGCUUGAGCUCCUCAACACUGAAUGGAAUGGCUCAUCUCUAUGGUACAGGAAUGGAUCUCUGCUGUGGUCCUUAUCUCUAUGGUACAGAGUUGUUCCAGAGUCAGCCAGCGUCUUUGUUGAGUUUUGUCUUUGUUCCUUUCGGGUAAAAGGGAUGCAUUUUUCUCAUGUGAUUGUCUGUACAUUUUGACUUUUUUUUUUACUUUUAUUUUCUUUGUAGUUUGUCAUUUUGAUAAUGAAGAACAUGAUGUUGUAUCUCUUUAACUGGGUUGAAUUGAAGGACAUGCUGUUGUAUCUCUUUAACUGUGUUGAAUUGAAGGACAUGCUGUUGUAAUCUCUUUAACUGUGUUGAAUUGAAGGACAUGCUGUUGUAUCUCUUUAACUGUGUUGAAUUGAAGGACAUGCUGUUGUAAUCUCUUUAACUGUGUUGAAUUGAAGGACAUGCUGUUGUAUCUCUUUAACUGUGUUGAAUUGAGCCCAAUUGCAGACGAAACGGCCCCAGGCCUUCAGUGGAUCUGCCGCCAACAAGCGAAAAACACAGACUGCUGACCUCUAUGGCUCUGGGGCCCCAUGUAGCCUCGUCUCGUUCCGAUGUAGCCUCGCCUCGUCUCAUCUGGACUGGAGUUUGAGAGCCCUCAUCAUGAAGUCUAUUAGCAAAUGAAAUCAUAAGGUCGUAGGUCAGGCGGAGCGCUGGAUCUCUCAUGAUUUGUGUUCCUCUUUCAUUACCAGAAUUUGUCUAUUGCAAAUAAAAGUGACUUUUUCAAA